CCUGUGCUCAAAAGUGGGACUUUUGGAAGGGAAUUGAAUUAUGGGUGCAGGACAGCUGAUUGCUAUUAGAAGGUGCUCAGAGGAGGCAGGCACUGUGGGCGUGGCCCAGAAGGGUGUAGCACUCUUUCUGCUUCCUGUCUGCCAUUGCCGUAAGCAGCUCUCCCCCACCAUGCCCUUCUGCCAUACCAUCCUGCCUCGGAGCCGGAGGACCAUGCAAGGACUGAAACUACUAAAAUGUGAGCCAAAAUACACCUUUCCUCUUUUAAGUUGUGGGUGUCAGGUAUUAUAUCUCAGCGAUGAGGAGGCGACUAAGAUGUGGCCCAUCAUUAUCUAGGUUGAUCUGAGAACAAACCGCAGCACCUGAAAGCACAUGGCCAGCUGAUGGAUGUUUGGCUCUGAUGGGCCAUUUUACAAGAUGCCUUAGGAAGGCAGGGAGUUUCAUCGCGAGUCCUUCAAACUGGUGCUGAGCCACAAACCAGCCAAGAUUGUAGAAUGUGUCACAUUCAGAAAGCAUCAAGCCAAUGCCAGCCCAGGCUGUGCUUCCAGAUGAGCAAGGCCCUCCUUCUGGGUUUGGAUACUGACUGAAGUUUUGCUUUCACGGUGACUGACACCUUCAUAAGGAUUCUAUCAGAUAAAAUUCCAGGUUUUUAAUUGCCAAAAGCCCAAGACCUCAUCUCCUCACACCUUGGCCCCCGACAGAGAAAUCCAAAGCAGAAGCUCUUUUUUUUAGAAAAAAAUUGAACUGACACAUAACAAUUGCAGGCAUUUGUGGUGUGAAUCACAGUGUGAUCGUUCAAUACAUAUGUACAGUGUGUAAAGAUCAGACCAGGGAUCAAACUUGGGAACUUGCGCUUUCAAGGCAGGCAGCAGCACCACUCAGGUACCUGCUGCUCACCAAUCACCUUCACUUGAGCCAUCCCUGUUUCACUGCAGCAAUGGGAGACAGUUUCUUGGUAUAUUUUCUCAUCUGUGUGGACAGAGUGUAGGAUAUUCUGGGUCCCAACACCACCAGAGGCCCUGGCCCCAGCCAUAGUAGGCUGCAGAUGCAGGUAGGUUGUCUCUCAGAGGGACCCUCAACAAACAGGCAAUGUGAACUGGAAGAGAAAUUCUCGGGCCUGUGUAUUUCAGUUGGACAACUCUAGGGCUCCAUAUGUUGUUCACCACUGUAUUGGAAGAGAACUCCAGUGACCCAGUGCCUAGUAGGCAGAAAACGGCCCCCCAAAGAUGCCCAUGUCCUAACCCCAGAACCUGUGAAUAUGUUCUUUCCUGGCAAAGGAAAUCUUUCAAAUGUGAUUGAAUUCCAAACCUUGACUUGGGGAGCUUAUUCGGGGUUAUCAAUGUGGGCCCAGUCUACUCACAUGGGUCCUUCAAAACAGAGACUUUCUCUCAGAUGUGGACAGAAAGACCCAUGAUAACAGAAAAAGGGUCUGAUGGAUGUAAUAUUGUUGGCUUUGAAGAUGGAAGAAGGGACACAAGCCAAGGAAUGCAAGUAUCUUCUAGAAACUGGGAAAGAGAAAGAAAGGAUCCUUUCCCCUUUAGGAUCUUGAUUUCGGCUCAGUGAGACCUACCUUGGACUUCUGACCUACAGAACUGAAAGGUGCUAAUUUUGUCAAUGUUGUGUUAAGUUGCUACAUUUAUUUUCAUUUGUUACAGCAGCAAAUGAUUAAUUAAUAUGCUCAAGGGUACUGGUACUAAAUAUGCACUUACAUUGGCUUUUUCCCCUUCCCUAUCUCUCUCCACUCUCUAACUCCUACUUUCCAGUAUUACAUUUGCCUACACCCAAGUCCUAUCCUCAGGUGCUGUUUAAAAGAGUACCCAAGCUCAAAUCAUGGAUAGGCUUUCUACUGACCUUUGAGGGUCUCUGGUUUUCCCACCCCCAUACUUCACCUUCAAUGAUCCUGGAAUUCAUUCAGGGAGCCACAAAGAUCCUUAAAACUCCAAGCUUCUAG
rnacentral:lncRNA from 1 species